CGUUUAUUAUUUAUUCUUUACUUUUAAUCUUGAUGAUUAUAAAAUGAUUGAUUGAUACGAAAUUAAUUUUUGUAAGAAAUUAAUCGUUCAUCUGAUUAAAUAUCUUCUUUUUAUUUUCUUUCUUUUUUUUUCUUUCUUUUUCCCUUGACAAUAUUAUUACCAAGAAGUCGAUUGAAAGUUUGCCUUCGUUAUACGGAUUCCUCUCGUGUUCGACUCGACUCGUACGAUGUUGCUCAAAGUGCAUCAUCUUCGUCGAAGAGUUAUGUUCUGAAUCCGCCACUGGCCUGGACAACCACCUUCACCACGUCCUAGGGACCUAAGCUAUUGAUCGAAACCGGGAAACGAAGGAAGGAACGCGAAACCAGCUGCGCCGCGAAUCAUAUUGCCGCCCCUCCAUCGAACUGAAAAACGUAACGCGUUUGCGCGUUUACAUGGAACGACCGGCUACGCGUUAGCUGUUACUUUACAAGGAUAACGUUUAAUGAGAAGGGAAACCGGUUGUCCGGACCGGAAAUGAUAAGCCAAUCGGAUUUUUCUUACGACAGAUUUAUUUUCGCGUUAAAAAAUAAUAUUAGAAAUUUUAUUUAUAAAAUUUGUAUGUGAUCACGGGUGAUCAUUUUAAAAAUCGAAUAAUAUGAAUAUAUUAAAUUAACAUUUCAUCAGAUUUGAAUUGGAUUUUUAUAGUGGUAAUAGAAAU